GCCCUGUUGGUCCCACCAUGGUUAGAAUGCCAGCCUGUCACGCUGGAGGUCGAGGGUUCGAGCCCCUUCCAGGUCGCCA
rnacentral:tRNA from 1 species